UACGAAGGGGGCUAGCGUUGCUCGGAAUCACUGGGCGUAAAGCGUACGUAGGCGGAUCUUUAAGUCAGGGGUGAAAUCCCAAGGCUCAACCUUGGAACUGCCUUUGAUACUGGGGAUCUCGAGUCCGGAAGAGGUGAGUGGAACUGCGAGUGUAGAGGUGAAAUUCGUAGAUAUUCGCAAGAACACCAGUGGCGAAGGCGGCUCACUGGUCCGGUACUGACGCUGAGGUGCGAAAGCGUGGGGAGCAAACAGG
rnacentral:rRNA from 1 species